CUCCCCACUCUCCCCUUUCUCUUCCAGAGAAUCUAGGGCCCUUUUUGCACCUACAGAAACAAGUUUCCUAAGGAAGGGAAAAGGAAAUCCACCGGCUUGUUAAUUUUCCUGCAGCCAACUCUCCAAAUUUGUUUCAAAAAACAUCACUUGUUCGUCGUGUUACUCUCAGAUCUUAUCUCUGGCCUGCCAUUUAUAAAUGGAACUUCCCCAAUGAUUCAGUUAUCUUCUCCUGGCCCCAUCCUUUACACAUGGAGAUCAUUACAACUCAAGAUGGAGUCUGGCUCUGUCACACACAGUGGUGUGAUCUCAACUCACUGCAACUUCCGCCUCCCUGGUUCAAGCGAUUCUCCUGCCUCAGCCUCCUGAGUAGCUUGGACUACAGGUGGG
rnacentral:lncRNA from 13 species